AGACCCGAAACCCGGUGAUCUAGCCAUGGGCAGGUUGAAGGUUGGGUAACACUAACUGGAGGACCGAACCGACUAAUGUUGAAAAAUUAGCGGAUGACCUGUGGCUGGGGGUGAAAGGCCAAUCAAACCGGGAGAUAGCUGGUUCUCCCCGAAAGCUAUUUAGGUAGCGCCUCGUGAAUUCAUCUCCGGGGGUAGAGCACUGUUUCGGCUAGGGGGCCAUCCCGGCUUACCAACCCGAUGCAAACUGCGAAUACCGGAGAAUGUUAUCACGGGAGACACACGGCGGGUGCUAACGUCCGUCGUGAAGAGGGAAACAACCCAGACCGCCAGCUAAGGUCCCAAAGUCAUGGUUAAGUGGGAAACGAUGUGGGAAGGCCCAGACAGCCAGGAUGUUGGCUUAGAAGCAGCCAUCAUUUAAAGAAAGCGUAAUAGCUCACUGGUCGAGUCGGCCUGCGCGGAAGAUGUAACGGGGCUAAACCAUGCACCGAAGCUGCGGCAGCGACACUGUGUGUUGUUGGGUAGGGGAGCGUUCUGUAAGCCUGCGAAGGUGGCCUGUGAGGGUUGCUGGAGGUAUCAGAAGUGCGAAUGCUGACAUAAGUAACGAUAAAGCGGGUGAAAAGCCCGCUCGCCGGAAGACCAAGGGUUCCUGU
rnacentral:rRNA from 1 species